rnacentral:rRNA from 1 species
CGACGCGCAACCCUGUCCUUAGUUACCAGCACGUUAUGGUGGGCACUCUAAGGAGACUGCCGGUGACAAACCGGAGGAAGGUGGGGAGUGACGUCAAGUCAUCAUGGCCCUUACGGCCUGGGCUACACACGUGCUACAAUGGUCGGUACAAAGGGUUGCCAAGCCGCGAGGUGGAGCUAAUCCCAUAAAACCGAUCGUAGUCCGGAUCGCAGUCUGCAACUCGACUGCGUGAAGUCGGAAUCGCUAGUAAUCGUGAAUCAGAAUGUCACGGUGAAUACGUUCCCGGGCCUU